UGUAAACGCAGACAACAGUUAUGGAGUGUGUUCUUUUCCUGCGCGUUGAUCUACUUCGGGUCAGCUUGGCGAAUGUUGACUGUCGUGCGCGGCUAAUUUGAGCGACUGCACACGACCUCGGAGGAGGAGAGAAUAAUGGAGGAGGACUUGGAAAACUUCUUGCGAUCAAGAAAUGUCGCUCAGGUGGACAUUACGCGCAUGAAAAGCGACAAGGUUGACAUGGAGGUAAUUUCUCUGAUGACUGAAGAGCAAAUGGGCAAAUAUAUCACUUCCUAUGGUGCUCGAAUAGCUGUCCUUUGCUUUUGUCAACAAAAAAUGUCCAGGGGUGAUGAAAUGCUUCUCCAAAGAUUGAGAGACAAAAUAAGAUCGAGGAAAAAAGGUGUACUGGGUGGAUCUCCAAGUGUGCUCCAAAACCUUGAUGAGAGAAUGGCAAGAUUUAAAAAUUUUAUUGGCUCUGUUGUUCAUUUGCACUUUUGAGAUGUAAAACAUCUGGCAUAGUUAACCACGUGAAGGGCAGUCUGCAAUUGUU